CCUACGGGUGGCAGCAGUGGGGAAUAUUGGACAAUGGGGGGAACCCUGAUCCAGCCAUGCCGCGUGUGUGAAGAAGGCCCUCGGGUUGUAAAGCACUUUCAGUGAGGAAGAACGCCUGGUGGUUAAUACCCAUCAGGAAAGACAUCACUCACAGAAGAAGCACCGGCUAACUCCGUGCCAGCAGCCGCGGUAAUACGGAGGGUGCGAGCGUUAAUCGGAAUUACUGGGCGUAAAGCGCGCGUAGGUGGCUUGAUAAGCCGGUUGUGAAAGCCCCGGGCUCAACCUGGGAACGGCCUCCGGAACUGUCAAGCUAGAGUGCAGGAGAGGAAAGUAGAAUUCCCGGUGUAGCGGUGAAAUGCGUAGAGAUCGGGAGGAAUACCAGUGGCGAAGGCGGCCUUCUGGACUGACACUGACACUGAGGUGCGAAAGCGUGGGUAGCAAACAGGAUUAGAUACCCCGGUAGUC
rnacentral:rRNA from 1 species